rnacentral:rRNA from 1 species
UACGUAGGGGGCUAGCGUUGUCCGGAAUCAUUGGGCGUAAAGCGCGUGUAGGCGGUCCGGUAAGUCCGCUGUGAAAGUCGAGGGCUCAACCCUCGAAUGCCGGUGGAUACUGUCGGGCUUGAAUACGGGAGAGGCGAGUGGAAUUCCUGGUGUAGCGGUGAAAUGCGCAGAUAUCAGGAGGAACACCGAUUGCGAAGGCAGCUCGCUGGAACGUUACUGACGCUGAGACGCGAAAGCGUGGGGAGCAAACAGG